CAAUAGCGUAUAUUUAAGUUGUUGCAGUUAAAAAGCUCGUAGUUGGAUUUCGGAUGGGAUUUGCCGGUCCGUCGUUACGAUGUGCACUGGCCAGUCCUAUCUUGUUGUCGGGGACUAGCUCCUUGGAUUCACUUCCUGGGACUAGGAGCUGACGAGGUUACUUUGAGUAAAUUAGAGUGUUCAAAGCAAGCCUACGCUCUGAAUACAUUAGCAUGGAAUAACACGAUAGGACUCUGGCUUAUCUUGUUGGUCUGUGAGACCAGAGUAAUGAUUAAGAGGGACAGUCGGGGACAUUCGUAUUUCGUUGUCAGAGGUGAAAUUCUUGGAUUUAUGAAAGACGAACUUCUGCGAAAGCAUUUGUCAAGGAUGUUUUCAUUAA
rnacentral:rRNA from 1 species